UUCUUUCUUGGUAGUGGUAUCCGGCGCGCGCGAAGUUGUAAAAAUGGGAAAUAUGGAAAAAGUUAACAGCACGUGGCUGAAAAAUGCAUUAAAACAUGCAAUCCGUAUUGCAAGUGAUCAUUGCCACAUCAUAUAACUGUGUAAAUAUGAAGAGAACGUUGGAUUUUCAUUGCAUCAAAAUUAGCACCGAACACGUGGUGCGCCCGUGUGCCCAUGAAGACACGUUGGAUGGCUGCUGACCAUUGCUUGAGGCUAUAUUGCGGAUAAACAUAUUUAAGGAUGAUGGAAAUGUUCGCUUUAACUCUAUACGGGAGGGGCAGCGCAGCAGCAGAACAUUCUCCAAUGCUCCUAGGAUAGCGUAGUGCGGUGUGCCGGAAACUUUUAGUCUAAAGGCUUUGUGUGACCAGGAUGGCUUGAUUCUUCUGAUGCCUUUGUAUGACCGACGACCAUGUCUUGUGACCAGGAUGAAAUUAUUCUUUUGACGCCUUUGUGCGACGGAUGCCCUUGUGUUAAGACCAGGAUGGAUUCAUUUUUCCUGCUGGCACUCUGAGGCGUUACAAGUAGACCUCUCCCUUUUAUAGAUGGUGGAAUAAAUAUGUAAAUUAACCUUUUUAUUUAAAUAUA